rnacentral:lncRNA from 1 species
UGUCUGUAAAUGUUGUAGUCAUUGCUUUUAGAAAUCUAGAAGGUGGUUUGAAAGGCAGAAAGGUGGGUAAAGACACUGAAGUGGGGUAAGAAGCUGUUUCUGGCCAAACUCCUUAAUGUUGAAACCCUACUUAACAAUUCAAAUAGUGUCAUGGGUAAGGAAAAUAUGAAUAAAGACAUUUGUAAGCAUAAUUUGAUACAAAAGGUAAAAAUCUAAGUUUAGAAUGUUUUGGGGAAGUAACAAAAAUGUUGAUACAAACAGUUCUGAUUUUGACUUUAGGAAAAUUACAAGAGAGAAAUGUAGAAUUGCAUGUGAAAUUUAUUUUGAAACUGGAGUAGGUACUGAGCUUCUAAUACAAAAUUUACCCAAGAAGCCUGUGAGGGUUGGCAGCUCCUGGGAGGCAGAUGCAAGCAGACUUCUGAGAGUUCCAGGACAGCCAGGGCUACCCAGUGAGACCCUGUC